rnacentral:rRNA from 1 species
AGAGUUUGAUCCUGGCUCAGAUUGAACGCUGGCGGCAUGCCUUACACAUGCAAGUCGAACGGCAGCACGGGGGCAACCCUGGUGGCGAGUGGCGAACGGGUGAGUAAUACAUCGGAACGUGUCCUGUAGUGGGGGAUAGCCCGGCGAAAGCCGGAUUAAUACCGCAUACGAUCUACGGAAGAAAGCGGGGGAUCGCAAGACCUCGCCCCCUAUAGGGGCGGCCGAUGGCAGAUUAGCUAGUUGGUGGGGUAAAGGCCUACCAAGGCGACGAUCUGUAGCUGGUCUGAGAGGACGACCAGCCACACUGGGACUGAGACACGGCCCAGACUCCUACGGGAGGCAGCAGUGGGGAAUUUUGGACAAUGGGGGAAACCCUGAUCCAGCAAUGCCGCGUGUGUGAAGAAGGCCUUCGGGUUGUAAAGCACUUUUGCCCGGAAAG